rnacentral:ncRNA from 1 species
UUGAGCCGUAUGCGGGGAAACUUGCACGUACGGUUCUUAGGGGAGGCGGCUGCGGCAACGUUGCCGCCUUACCCGAU